rnacentral:lncRNA from 1 species
UUUAGGCUAUUGCAUUUCAUACCAUGCAUUAGUAUAGGAUUUAAGUUAAUUAUAUAGUGAUUUAGCAUCAAUGUGAUGAAUUGUGUAAAUUUUUGUUAUGUGUCUAAGAGGAGAGCCUUCCGAAAAAGGCAAAGAAGUCGUACUCGACGAGUAGUGAUCGGGGCGCUUAGAAAGCUUUUAGUUUGUACAAACGGUGAGUAAACUUAUUAUUAUUGUAAAUUAUAUAGAGUUUAUUUUUAAAUGCCUUUAUGUAUUUUAUGAAAUGAAAACGAGAUUAAAAUGAGAUUUUUUGAUGUUUUAGGAAUAAAUGUGACAAAUAAAAAUAUGUUGUAUUGAUUAUGAAAUUGAGUAAUUGGAGGCUGCAAAUUGACUUGAAAAAUAUAUAUUUUCCUAGGAAUGGCUUAUGAGAAAUGAGUAUAUGUGGCUAUAUUUUGUGAGUGCAUUGGGAAAUUUAUGUAAGUUGUUUUUACUAUGCAGGCUGGAUAAAUAAAUAAAAGCUACGUUAUACUGUCGAAAAUUUAUUAAAAUUGGUGGGUUAGUCACUAUAGUGACGGGUUUUCGUGGACUGCCUAUUAGAGGGGGCACGGUAAACCUAGUUAUAUAGUUACUCCGGUUGUAGAGGUGAGGAGGGUAACUCCCCGGGUAGUAUUAGAGCUCACUUCACGUCGAACCCCCACGUGAAUGUGUAACUUAGCCAACGCCAAGGAACGGCUGGUUUUAAAAAAAAAAAAUGUGUUUCACGUGUGAAUAUUUUAACACCCUUGACAGACUGGGUUAGAUGCCUCGGCCAAGGUAUCCCCGAGGAUUAGUUUUGGCUUGAGCCUUGUUUUAAUAAAAGACAUAAGCCUUAACAACUGUUUUGGUAAAUUACAAAUAUUUUAUGGUUUAAGAAAUAAAUUGAAAACAUUAUGAAAUGGGUUGAAAUUUGUUGUUUAAACUUGCCUCCAUUUUACUCGCCUUUAGAUAUUUAUGAUAAUGUCUGUUUAUUCAUUGGGAUUUUAUAAUCUCACCACCCUCCUUUCCACCCAUUUCAGGUUCAGUAUAAACUGUAGAUAGCUGAUCUCAUCGAGGACUACCAUUGGAUCUGCAUUUUCCAAACCGUAGGUUCACAGUCCUCUUUACUUUUGUUUAUUCGGGGGCCCUCUUGUUAUUGUAAAUUAAAUUAAAUAUUUUGGCUUACUGUAUUUCAGUAUGUAUAAAUUUAUUUAGCUUUUACGCUAUAAAAAUUAUUCACGUAUAACUCUAUAAAUAUUGUUUUAUAAGAAAAUAGAAUAUUUUCCUUAAUAUUUCUUUUAUUUUCUUAUUAUAUUCAAAUAACCGUAAUUUCGUUUUAAAUGAAGAUUUUAGACUUUUAAACUCAUUUUGAAUAUGAAUUAUGUGUUUUGUACUUGUAUAUUACGUUUUAGCCAGUUUCGAAAUUUUUGAGAAAAAAAUGACCAAAAUACCCCUGUGUGGCGAAAAUUUUAUUUUGAUUGUUUUUGAUCUAAAAUAGUAUAUAUUCUCUAAAAACUCGAUAUUUAACAAUGAUUGCUCACAGGAAAGGAAAGAAACUGAUAUGUAAGCCUUGCGGGGUUCCGGUUGGCAUUCCGGAUAAUGAGUGUCAAUCGGGACGUCGCGGCGAUUGUCAUGGGCCUGAGGGAGGUUCCGGGUCGUGACAAUUCGAUUGGUAUCAGAGCUUUUGGUUUUAAAGAUAAGAGCUUUUGGUUUUAAAGAUAAGAGUUUUUGGUUUUAAAGUGGUUUUAAAAAAUUACAAUAUCAGUGUGGCCCCGGAUUAAGUUAAGUUAGGUUGAAUAGAAUGCAUGCAUUUUCAUAUAGAGCCUAAGGUUCCCUAAGCUUGCUCGUUUUCUCUUAUAGAUUAUUAUGCCUCCUCGACGCGGACGCCCACCUCUCACUAGAUCGGUUGGGAGGGGAAAAUGUUGUUCCCAACGUCGUCAGCUAGAUGCAGUAGGGGAAGAAUCGAUUGCGUCUACCAUUCGGGGAGCACCUGUUGCUGAGUAGGCCGAUAGUCCUCCACAUCCUCCACCUCCUCCGCCACCUACGGGUAUUCCCACCAUGCCUACUGAGGCAGCACAAGCAUUGGCAGCUUUCUUUACUGCAAUGACUGGUGGAGCUCCGACUGGUCAAGUUCCACCUAUAGUACCACCAGUUACUCCUUUAGUUCCACCACCGGUACAAGAUGUAUCCAUUUCCAAGAAGCUAAAGGAGGCUAGACAGCUCAGUUGUGUGUCUUUCACGGGUGAGUUGGAUGCCACUGUGGCAAAGGACUGGAUUAAUCAGGUUUCAGAGACUCUCUCUGAUAUGAGAUUAGACGACGACAUGAAGCUGAUGGUGGCUACGAGAUUAUUAGAGAAGAAGGCUCGUACUUGGUGGAAUUCAGUGAAGUCCCAUUCCACUAUUCCUCAGACGUGGUCCGAUUUUCUCAGGGAAUUCGAUGGUCAGUAUUUCACUUAUUUUCAUCAGAAAGAAAAGAAGAAAGAAUUUCUGAGUUUGAAACAGGGGGAAUCUAACUGUAGAGGAGUAUGAGACUCGUUUUAACGAGUUGAUGUUAUAUGUGCCGGAUCUGGUGAAAUUUGAGCAGAAUCAGGCUAGUUAUUUCGAGGAAGGGCUCCGUAAUGAGAUUAGAGAGCGGAUGACAGUGACUGGUAGGGAGCCACAUAAGGAGGUGGUAUAGAUGGCUUUACGGGCUGAGAAGCUCGCGACUGAAAAUAGGAGGAUUCGGACUGAGUUUGCAAAAAGGAAGAAUCCUGGUAUGUCUUCUAGUCAGUCAGUAAAAAGAGGCAAGGACUCAACGAUUUCAGAGAGUACUACUUCUAUUUCCAUGACAUUUCCUCGACCUCCAUUUCCACCAUCACAACAGAGACCUUCGAGGUUUAACAGAUCUGCUAUGACUGGUUCUGGAAAGAGUUUCGGAGGUUCUGACUGAUGCAAAAAUUAUGGGAAUUAUCAUAGUGGGCUAUGUAGAGGGCCAACAAGAUGUUUCCAAUGUGGACAGACGGGUCAUAUUAGGAGUAAUUGCCCACGGUUAGGACGAGCCACGGUAGUUGCAUCAUCUUCACCAGCUCGCACUGAUAUGCAGAAGAGAGAUUAUUCUAAGUUGCCACCAAGACAGGGAGUGACCAUACGGUCCGAUGUGGAGAGUAAUACCCCGGCACAUCCACCUUCGAGACCACAGACUCGUACCUCGACAAGAGUUUUCGCUGUUACGAAAGAUGAGGCACGGGUCCAACCUGGAGCAGUGACAAGUACUAUGUCUUUAUUUGAUAAAGAUUCUUAUGUUUUGAUAGAUUCUGGCUCAGAUAGGUCUUAUGUGAGCACCACAUUUGCAUCAAUUGCUGAUAGAAACCUGUCACCAUUAGAGGAAGAAAUUGUAAUUCACACCCCUUUGGGAGAAAAGCUAGUUAGAAACAGUUGUUAUAGAGACUGUGGGGUAAGGGUAGGCGAGGAAGAAUUUAGGGGUGACUUAAUUCCUCUAGAGAUCCUGGAUUUUGAUCUAAUAUUGGGUAUGGACUGGUUAACUGCACAUCAGGCGAACGUGAAUUGUUUUCGAAAGGAAGUUGUUCUUCGAAAUUCGGAGGGAGCAGAGAUUGUGUUUGUAGGGAAACGUCGAGUAUUACCGUCCUGUGUAAUCUCGGCCAUCAAAGCUUUGAAAUUAGUGCAGAAAGGGUAUCCGACUUAUUUGGCAUACGUGAUUGAUACUUCAAAGGGGGAACCUAAGUUAGAGGAUGUCUCGAUAGUAAGUGAGUUUCCUGAUGUAUUUUCUGAUGAUUUACCGAGACUACCUUUUGAUCGAGAGCUUGAGUUCCCUAUUGAUUUACUUCUGGGUACCGCACCUAUUUCUAUCCCUCCAUAUAGAAUGGCUCCGGCAGAGUUGAAGGAACUGAAAGUCCAGUUGCAAGAUUUAGUGGAUAAAGGUUUCAUUCGCCCUAGCAUUUCUCCUUGGGGAGCACCAGUUCUAUUUGUCAAGAAAAAGGAUGGCACUCUUCGAUUGUGUAUUGAUUACCGUCAGCUGAACCGAGUGACCAUCAAGAAUAAAUAUCCUUUACCCCGGAUAGAUGAUCUAUUUGAUCAAUUACGAGGUGCUAUGGUAUUCUCUAAGAUUGAUUUGAGAUCUGGGUACUAUCAGUUGAGGAUUAAGGAGCAAGAUGUACCCAAGACUGCGUUCAGGACUCGGUACAGUCAUUAUGAGUUCUUGGUCAUGCCUUUCGGGUUAACUAACGCACCGACAGCUUUUAUGGAUCUCAUGAAUAGGGUGUUCCACCUUUACUUGGACAAGUUUGUUAUUGUGUUCAUUGAUGACAUAUUGGUUUACUUGAGAGAUAAUGAUGAGCACGCUGCCCACUUGCGUAUAGUAUGACAAACUUUGAGGGAAAGACAGUUGUAUGCAAAGUUUUCGAAGUAUGAGUUUUGGUUACAGGAAGUGGUAUUCUUGGGACACAUAGUAUCGAGAACUGGAAUAUAUGUUGAUCCUAAGAAAGUAGAGGCAAUUUUACAAUGGGAGCAACCUAAGACAGUGACGGAGAUUCGUAGUUUCCUCGGAUUAGCUGGUUAUUAUCGGAGGUUUGUUUAGGGGUUUUCCUUAAUAGCAGCUCCUUUAACCCGUCUAACUCGUAAGGGAGUUAAGUUUGUGUGGGAUGAUAUUUGUGAGAAUCGAUUUCAGGAGCUAAAGAACCGGUUAACCUUCGCUCCCGUUUUAACACUUCCUGUUAAUGGUAAGGGAUUUGUAGUAUAUAGUGAUGCCUCAAAGUUGGGGUUGGGGUGCGUAUUGAUGCAAGAUGAAAAAGUUGUGGCUUAUGCUUCUAGACAGCUAAAGAGGUAUGAAGCAAAUUACCCUACCCAUGAUUUAGAGUUAACAGCAGUGGUGUUUGCUUUAAAAAUCUAGAGGCAUUACUUGUAUGGUGAGCAUUGUCGGAUAUUUACGGAUCACAAGAGUUUAAAAUAUUUGCUCACCCAAAAGGAGUUUAAUUUGAGGCAAAGGCGAUGGUUGGAGUUGAUAAAAGAUUAUGACUUGGUGAUAGACUAUCAUCCGAGAAAGACGAACGUUGUAGCUGAUGCCUUAAGUCGUAAGUCUUCAUCGUCUUUAGCAGCACUUCAGAGUUAUUAUUUUCCAGCAUUAAUAGAGAUGAAAUCUCUUAGGGUCCAGUUGAGAAAUGGUGAGGAUGGAUCCUUAUUGGCAAACUUCAUUGUGCGACCUUCGUUACUUAAUCAGAUCAAGGACAUUCAGAGGUCUGAUGAUGAGUUAAGAAAAGAAAUUCAAAAACUGACCGAUGGGGGAGUUAGUGAGUUCAGAUUUGGAGAGGAUAACGUCUUGAUGUUUAAAGAUCGAGUUUGUGUUCCUGAGGGAAACCAGUUGAGACAAGCGAUCAUGGAAGAAGCCCAUUCAUCUGCCUAUGCAUUACAUCCCGGAAGCACCAAGAUGUAUAGGACUAUCAGGGAGAAUUAUUGGUGGCCGGGUAUGAAGCGAGACGUAGCAGAAUUCGUAGCAAAGUGUCUCGUAUGUCAGCAAGUUAAGGCGGAGCAUCAGAGGCCAGCAGGUACACUUCAGUCUUUACCUGUUCCCGAGUGGAAAUGGGAGCAUGUAACUAUGGAUUUUGUUUUGGGAUUGCCGCGGACACAGAGGGGAAAGGAUGCGAUCUGGGUGAUCGUAGAUCGGUUGACUAAGUCCGCUCACUUUUUAGCUGUCCAUAGUACAUACUCUAUUGAGAAGCUGGCUCAGCUCUAUAUAAAUGAGAUUGUGAGGCUACAUGGAGUUCCCGUUUCUAUAGUGUCAGACCGAGAUCCUCGAUUCACUUCUCGAUUCUGGCCAAAAUUUCAAGAAGCUCUCGGAACCAAAUUGAAAUUUAGCACUGCUUUUCACCCACAGACGGAUGGUCAGUCAGAGAGGACUAUCCAGACCUUGGAGGAUAUGUUACGGGCUUGUGUCAUUGACUUUAUUGGGAGUUGGGACAGACAUUUGCCAUUGGUGGAAUUUGCUUACAACAAUAGCUUUCAGUCUAGCAUUGGUAUGGCACCAUACGAAGCUUUAUAUGGAAGGAAAUGUCGUACUCCACUUUGUUGGGAUGAAGUGGGUGAAAGAAAGUUAGUGAGUGUGGAAUUGAUCGAGCUAACUAAUGACAAGAUCAAGGUUAUACGAGAGAGGCUAAAGGUAGCCCAGGAUAGGCAGAAGAGCUAUGCAGAUAAACGGAGAAAAGACUUGGAGUUUGAGAUCGAUGAUAAAGUUUUUCUUAAGGUUUCUCCUUGGAAAGGUAAUAAUUUGAAUACUUUGAAGUAUUAAAUCUUAUUGAUUAUACUAUCAUGAUAAAUUAUGGUGUUUUAUUGGAUAAUGAAAGGUGUGAUUCGAUUUGCGAAGAGGGGAAAGCUCAACCCGAGAUAUAUUGGACCAUUCCGAAUCAUUGAAAGGAUUGGACCAGUGGCUUAUCGGUUAGAAUUACCUCCGGAGUUAGAUCGGAUCCACAACGUUUUCCAUGUCUCCAUGCUUAAGAAAUAUGUACCAGAUCCCUCUCACGUCCUCGAAGCACCUCCGAUCGAGUUGCAUGACGAUUUGAAGUUCGAGGUACAACCUGUGAGUAUCUUGGAUCGAAAGGAUCGAGUACUGAGAAACAAGAGUAUUUCAAUGGUCAAAGUGUUGUGGAAAAGUGCUCGAAUGGAGGAAAUGACAUGGGAAGUAGAGCAUCAGAUGAGGAACCAAUACCCGCAUCUAUUUGUCGAAUCUGGUAAGUGAAAUUUUGAGGUCAAAAUUUUAUUUUAAGGGGGGUAGAAUUGUAAAACCCGACCCUAUAAAUACAUGUCAUGACAUACAUGCAUUGAGUAGCAUGUUAUUACGCUAGAAAAGCACCUAAGAAUAGACGAAACCCGAUAUUGUACCUAACGGUACACUUAAAUUGAUUUAACCUCGAACUAGUUCAAAUAGGAAUUGUAGGAUGAAAUUUAAUAUUUUAUAGUCCAGGAAUGACUAAAAAUGAUUGUUCGGAGUUCGAGGGUUCAUUUGGGGUAAAAUUAGAAAUUUUGAUAUUCAAGGGCAAAAUCGUCAUUUUGCCACCUAAGAUAAUAAUUUGAUCAUGGAGUGAAAUUUUUGACCAAGAUUAACUAUUUGGAGUAUAAUUUAAUGAUAGGAAGUGAAAAAGUUUAAUUCUGGUGAUUUUUGGAGUGUAGGGGCAAAAUCGUAAUUUUGCCACCCACGGACAAAAUUUGAGAUUUUGAGAGAAUUUAGAUCAAAUUUGACAAAUUGGAGAAUGGUAUGAGUAUAAGGGAUGAAAAAUAUGUCUAUGGGCAAUUUUUCAAUUUUUGGGGCAAAAAUGUAAUUUUUGACUUUUACGGGGGCAAAAGUGUAAAUUUCAAAAAUUACUCCACCGAGACUUUGGAUGAGUCUGAGAAUUUUAUCUAAGCUAUGAAUAUAUGAGACAAGUGUAUGGUGAAAAUUUGGAAACAAAUGGAUGAAAUUUUAAAAAUGGGCCAAUGGGAAAGUGACAUGUGGCAUUUUUUAAUGAAAUAAUAUUAUUUUAAUGAAAAGUCAGCCCAUUUAAACCCAAAUUUUGAGUGCUGGCCGGCCAUAAGGAAGAACAAGAGAGGAAAUAGAGAGGAAAGGAAGAAAAAAAGAAAAACCAAAGAGAAACAAGAAAAUUCAAAGGGAAAUUCGCGGUUUUCGACCGUUUACGCGUCUAACGGUAAGAUUUUUCGAUUUUAGCUUGAUUUCUACCUUUCCUAUGCCUUUAUUUCCAUUUAGCAUGCUUGAGGAGAGAGAUCAAAAAGUGAUAUCAAGGGCUGGACGAAAUUCUAGGGGAGAGAAAUUGAAAUUUUUAGGUUUUGAUUUUUAGUUAAAUUGAUAGUUUUAGUUAGUUAAAUGUGUUUAGAAAUUAAAUUGGGCAAGAAAUCAUUAAAUUUUCACAAUACCCACUCUUGGCUGGAUGCUCAAUGCUGUACAAUGAUGAUGAAUUGAUUUUAUUCUAAGGAAAAUGAAGAGAAAAUGAUGAAAAACGAUUAAACGUGAUAGAAAAACAAAGUAGAAAAUUAACCGAGUUAAUGUCCCAUUUUUGGCCGAAUUUUCCAAGGAAGGGAGUGAGCUGAUUUUGUUGUUUUUAGAAGGUUAUUGGCUGAUAUUUAAUGGUUAGAAAUGUUGGAGAGAGAAUGGGAUGAUUUAGAGCUAAAAUGGAGCGCGUUAGCAAUUUAUCGGGCAAAGUGCCAAAAAUAGGUUAAUACCGCGUUUAAGCCGUUUUAGGCUAUUGCAUUUCAUACCAUGCAUUAGUAUAGGAUUUAAGUUAAUUAUAUAGUGAUUUAGCAUCAAUGUGAUGAAUUGUGUAAAUUUUUGUAAUGUGUCUAGGAGGAGAGCCUUCCGGAAAAGGCAAAGAAGUCGUACCCGACGAGUAGUGAUCGGGGCGCUUAGAAAGCUUUUAGUUUGUACAAACGGUGAGUAAACUUAUUAUUAUUGUAAAUUAUCUAGAGUUUAUUUUUAAAUGCCCUUUAUGUAUUUUAUGAAAUGAAAACGAGAUUAAAACGGGAUUUUUGAUGUUUUAGGAAUAAAUGUGACAAAUAAAAAUAUAUUGUAUUGAUUAUGAAAUUGAGUAAUUGGAGGCUACAAAUUGACUUGAAAAAUAUAUAUUUUCCUAGGAAUGGCUUAUGAGAAAUGAGUAUAUGUGGCUAUAUUUUGUGAAUGCAUUGGGAAAUUUAUGUAAGUUGUUUUACUAUGCAGGCUGGAUAAAUAAAUAAAAGCCACGUUAUACUGUCGAAAUUUUAUUAAAAUUGGUGGGUUAGUCACUGCAGUGACGGGUUUCCGUGGACUGCCUAUUAGAGGGGCACGGUAAACCCAGUUAUAUAGUUACUCCGGUUGUAGAGGCGAGGAGGGUAACUCCUGGGGUAGUAUUAGAGCUCACUUCACGUCGAACCCCCACGUGAAUGUGUAACUCGGCCAACGCCAAGGAACGGCUGGUUUUAAAAAUAAAAAUGUGUUUCACGUGUGAAUAUUUUAACACCCUUGGCGGACUCGGUUAGAUGCCUCGGCCAAGGUAUCCCCGAGGAUUAGUUUUGGCUUGAGCCUUGUUUUAAUAAAAGACAUAAGCCUUAACAACUGUUUUGGUAAAUUACAAAUAUUUUAUGGUUUAAGAAAUAAAUUGAAAACAUUAUGAAAUGGGUUGAAAUUUGUUGUUUAAACUUGCCUCCAUUUUACUCGCCUUUAGAUAUUUAUGAUAAUGUCUGUUUACUCAUUGGGAUUGCAAAAUCUCACCCAACUCCUUUCCACCCAUUUCAGGUUCAGUAUAGACUGUAGAUAGCUGAUCUCAUCGAGGACUACCAUUGGAUCUGCAUUUUCCAAACCGUAGGUUCACAGUCCUCUUUACUUUUGUUUAUUCGGGGGCCCUCUUGUUAUUGUAAAUUAAAUUAAAUAUUUU